CUACGGGACGCUCCAGUGAGGAAUAUUGCACAAUGGGGGGAACCCUGAUGCAGCAACGCCGCGUGGAGGAUGACGCAUUUCGGUGUGUAAACUCCUUUUAUAUGUCAAGAAAAUGACGGUAGCAUAUGAAUAAGCACCGGCUAACUCCGUGCCGGCAGCCGCGGUAAUACGGAGGGUGCAAGCGUUACUCGGAAUCACUGGGCGUAAAGGACGCGUAGGCGGGUUGGAAAGUCAGGUGUGAAAUCCUACGGCUUAACUGUAGAACUGCACUUGAAACUUCUAAUCUAGAGUAUGGGAGGGGGAGAUGGAAUUAGUGGUGUAGGGGUAAAAUCCGUAGAUAUCACUAGGAAUACCUAAAGCGAAGGCGAUCUCCUGGAACAUUACUGACGCUAAGGCGUGAAAGCGUGGGGAGCAAACAGGAUUAGAUACCCCCGUAGUC
rnacentral:rRNA from 1 species